rnacentral:miRNA from 1 species
GAGGCUGAGCUGAGGAG